CGCCGGCAUACGGCUCAGUAACACGUAGGUAACCUACCCUCAGGACUGAGAUAACCCCGGGAAACUGGGGCUAAUAUUAGAUAGAUAGAAGAUACUGGAAUGUUCUUUUAUCCAAAGCUUUUGCGCCUGAGGAUGGGCCUGCGUCCGAUUAGGUUGUUGGUGGGGUAAUGGCCCACCAAGCCUGCGAUCGGUACGGGCAGUGAGAGCUGAAGCCCGGAGUUGGGGACUGAGACAAGGCCCCAGGCCCUACGGGGCGCAGCAGGCGCGAAACCUCUGCAAUGCGGGAAACCGUGACAGGGGGAUCCCAAGUGCUCAUGCAUUGCAUGGGCUGUUCUUUGGUCUAAGUAACCAGAGGAGUAAGGGCUGGGCAAGACCGGUGCCAGCCGCCGCGGUAAUACCGGCAGCUCGAGUGGUAGCCGCGAUUAUUGGGCCUAAAGCGUUCGUAGCCGGAUAAGUAAGUCUUUGGUUAAAUCCUGCGACUUAACCGUGGGAAAUCUAGAGAUACUGCUUGUCUUGAGACCGGGAGAGGUUGGAGGUACUCCCAGGGUAGGGGUGAAAUCCUGUAAUCCUGGGGGGACCACCUGUGGCGAAGGCGUCCAACUGGAACGGGUCUGACGGUGAGGGACGAAACCUAGGGGAGCGAGCCGGAUUAGAUACCCGGGUAGUCCUAGGCGUAAAUGAUGCGAGUUAAGUGUGGGGGCAUCUACGAGAUGGCCCUGUGCUGUAGGGUAGCCGUUAAACUCGCCGCCUGGGGAGUACGGUCGCAAGGCUGAAACUUAAAGGAAUUGGCGGG
rnacentral:rRNA from 1 species